rnacentral:pre_miRNA from 1 species
ACACAAAUCCCUGAAGAUCUUGUUAGAAAGCAGAUUCUGAUGCAGUAGGUCUAAGGUGAGACCUGAGAUUCUGCCUUUCUAACAAGCUCUCAGGUGAUGUUGAU